rnacentral:rRNA from 1 species
GACGAACGCUGGCGGCGUGCUUAACACAUGCAAGUCGAACGGUAAGGCUUUGCUUUUGUGGUGUGCUCGAGUGUCGACCGGUUGGUUAACACGUGAUUAACCUGCCCUUGACUUCGGGAUUACUUCAGGAAACUGGGCCUAAUACCGGAUGGGUGCUCCCCCUUCAUGGUUUGGAUCGGAAUGUUUCGGCGGUUGGGGUUGUACCCGUGGCUUAUCAACUUGCUGCUGGGUAAGUGGUUUACCAAGGCUUUGCCGGGUAGCCGGACUGAGAGGGUGACAGGCAACAUUGGGACUGAGAUACGGCCCAGACUCCUACGGGAGGGAGAAGUAGGGGAUAUUGCACAAGGGGCAGAAGCCUAAUGCAGAAACGCCGAGUGCGGGAUAACGGCCUUCGGGUUGUAAACCGCUAACGCCUGGGACGAAGAGUGAGUGACGGUAAUGGGUAAAGAAGCACCGGCUAACUACGUG